AGGUACCCUGAGGAAGAAAGAAGAGGCAUCUAUUGCUAAGCAAGUCAAAUCACAAUAAUCAUUUGAACACUUUCUCUCCACAGAAUCUGAUGGAGACAACCUAGGACCCUGACCCCAAAAGCCUUAGAGCAGUGACUCCCAAUCAACCAGAUCUGCUUCCAGCCCAGAACCCACAGCCAUAAUUAAGGGGAGAAAUCACUUACGUUCUUCACCACUAGCAACAGCUAGUGACUAACUACAGAGCGGCAGAAAUGCACAAGAUCUCUGAGAGUGGUAGUAAAGAUACUACCCAGAUCAGCAAUCCUGCUGCCAGCCUAGCCAUGAUCCAUUCAAACACUCCUGUGGAGGAGGGGACAGCUAUCCCCACCUACUGUCAGUCAACUGCCAGCCAUGCUAAAGCAGCAAGGCACCCCAAAGGAGAGGCAAACAUGUUUCAGAAAAGUCAAACCUUCAUCACCAAAAACAAAUCACCUUGAAAACUAUUUCUUCUCAAACCUUAAUGGAGACAGUGUGGAACCCUGAACUUAAAAGUUUCCGUCCCCCUCCUCUGCCCUUAGGAAAACCACCAAACCCACUUCCAGAAUAGGCUCUGAUCAAAUGUCAACAGGCCCUGGAGUAACAUCACCCUCCAGCCCCUACCAUAGCCAGCAUCAGAGGAAUCAACUGCUGUGGAGCAGGGGCAAGCCAUCUCCAACAAUGGCCACACACAAUAGAAGAAACCGAUGGAGACAGCUCCAGACCCCUGAAACCAAGAGGCUUGAGAAGAGCAGUGGUUCCAGAAUGGUGCCUUAAGCCAACAUCCUGGGAGGCAAUUCCUGUGAAGAUGCAGCCUAGCAACUGCUUCUGCAGAUGCUGUGACCACAGCUACUGAAGACCCAGAGAGGAAAGUUCUGGCCACCAAAGUUCUAGGCACUCUCAUAUGAGUCAACAUAAGAAACUCAUAUGAUUUUAUCAGUGGAAAUGAUUUUCAAAAGGCAUCAUUUAAAUAACAUACACAGUCAAUUGGAUCCAAUGCAAAAUCAGAUGCCGAAGAGUCAAAGUUGGCAAGUUAACACUAAUUACUCAUCAGUCUCACAACUGAACGUCGUUCCUUGCAAGAAGCUUGAAGUUUCUGUCAACCUCACCAAUCCUGAUAUUAGAUGAAGAAACUGAGACCUGGGGGAGAAAAGUUAUUUGCCUAAUAUCAUACAGGUAGUAGAUGCUAUUUGAAUCUACCUACAUUCUCUGACUCUGAAAUAAACCAUCUUUCCUACUGUACCUAUGGAUAGAUAUGUGGUUCCCCUUCUUCAUUGGGCCCUAUGACUACAUAUCCAUCUUUUGAUUUUGUGAAAAUUUGAUUCUAUUUACACUUAUCAUAUAGGCAAAAAUGACUGCAAAAGGAAAAUGGCAAUUGUGAGA